UUGGAGGGCAAGUCUGGUGCCAGCAGCCGCGGUAAUUCCAGCUCCAAUAGCGUAUAUUAAAGUUGUUGCAGUUAAAAAGCUCGUAGUUGAAUUUCGGGGUUCUACCGUUGGUCGGGCUUUGUCUGUACUGGUGUGUAGAAUUUCUACCUUCUGGGGAACCAUCAUGCUAUUAACUUAGCGUGGUGGGAAACCAGGACCUUUACCUUGAAAAAAUUAGUGUGUUCAAAGCAGGCUUAUGUCUGAAUACAUUAGCGUGGAAUAAUAGAAUAGGACGGUGGUCCUGUUUUGUUGGUCUCUGAAUCACCGUAAUGAUUAAUAGGGAUAGUUGGGGGCAUUAGUAUUCAAUUGUCAGAGGUGAAAUUCUUGGAUUUAUUGAAGACUAACUUCUGCGAAAGCAUUUGCCAAGGAUGUUUUCAUUAAUCAAGAACGAAAGUUAGGGGAUCGAAGACGAUCAGAUACCGUCGUAGUCUUAACCAUAAACUAUGCCGACUAGGGAUCGGACGAUGUUAAUUUUUCUUGACUCGUUCGGCGCCUUACGGGAAAC
rnacentral:rRNA from 1 species